UACGUAGGGAGCAAGCGUUGUCCGGAAUCAUUGGGCGUAAAGCGCGCGUAGGUGGCUCUAUAAGUCCGUUGUGAAACGUCAAAGGCUCAACCUUUGGAAAGCCGAUGGAUACUGUAGAGCUAAGAGUCCGGAAGAGGCGAGUGGAAUUCCAUGGUGUAGCGGUGGAAUGCGCAGAUAUCAGGAGGAACACCAAUAGCGAAGGCAGCUCGCUGGGACGGUACUGAACACUAAGGGCGCGAAAGCGUGGGGAGCCGAACGGG
rnacentral:rRNA from 1 species